rnacentral:rRNA from 1 species
AACGAACGCUGGCGGCAGGCUUAACACAUGCAAGUCGAGCGGACAUCUUCGGAUGUCAGCGGCGGACGGGUUAGUAACGCGUGGGAACGUGCCCUCUUCUACGGAAUAGCCCAGGGAAACUUGGAUUAAUGCCGUAUACGCCCGCAAGGGGAAAGAUUUAUCGGAGGAGGAUCGGCCCGCGUUGGAUUAGGUAGUUGGUGGGGUAAUGGCCUACCAAGCCGACGAUCCAUAGCUGGUUUGAGAGGAUGAUCAGCAACACUGGGACUGAGACACGGCCCAGACUCCUACGGGAGGCAG